rnacentral:rRNA from 1 species
GACGAACGCUGGCGGCGUGCUUAAUACAUGCAAGUCGAACGGAAAGGCCCUGCUCUUGUGCGGCGCUCGAGUGGCGCACGGGUGAGUAACACGCGAGUAACCUGCCCUUGACUUUGGGAUAACUUCAGGAAACUGGGGCUAAUACCGGCUAGGAGCUCCUGCUGCACGGUGGGGGUUGGUAAGUUUCGGCGGUUGGGGAUGGACUCGCGGCUUAUCAGCUUGUUGGUGGGGUAGUGGCUUACCAAGGCUUUGACGGGUAGCCGGCCUGAGAGGGUGAACGGGCACAAUGGGACUGAGAUACGCCCCAGACUCCUACGGGAGGCAGCGGUGGGGAACAUUGCAGAAUAAGCGGAAGCCUGAUGCAACAACGCCGCGUGCGAGAUGACGGCCUUCAGGUUGUAAACCGCUUUCGCCUGUAACGAAGCGUGAGUGACGGUAAUGGAUAAGGAAGCACCGGCUAACUACGUG